rnacentral:lncRNA from 1 species
CUCGUCUUUCUCUCCCCUAAAUCCUGUGCUCCCCUUGGAAAACCGCCCGCUCUGUCGGGGAGGGUGCGCUGCUCGCCGUCAGCAGGAUAGGUUUGGGUUGCUUUUUGGUUUGUAACGAGGGCAGGAGGUGAGACAAUGAUCAAGUCAAGUUGGUUCUACGUCAAGUUCAAGCAUGCAGAGAAGCCCUUGCAGUUCAUUCAGAAAGCCCUCGAGUCCCUGAACACAGCAGAUAAUGUUCCUGCUUUGCUGUCACCGGGUGAUUCUCUGUGUGUGUUACAUAACCUGUCAUACCAGCUUUGUCAGAGACAGAUAUUUUUGAGAUCUACAACCUGGGAAAUUUGAUCAUGGAUGAAAUCCAGGAAGCCCAUUUAAUCUGUAUUCUUAGAGUUACUUGUGCCUUUACAAGACUUUCUUCCGAUUCACCAGGGAAGUUGCCAAGUCUGUUCAUCUGUUGGGGGGGGGGAAUCCCCAAACCAUAAUGCACACACUUAGGAAGACAAAAACUGAAGUGCAUGUCUGGUCUUUUAUUGGAUUUCCUGUGUGAUAAGAGACUGUUAUCCAUUUGGGUUGAAGUGGGGGUUUCUUAAUGGGAGGCUCAGGAGAAAUUUUGGUCUUGGCUAUGAGGUGGGGCUGUCCCCCUCACUGAACGCAGGAUUUUGUGUCAACGUUCUUAUUGUGGCUGGGGCUUCUUCUGCAUUAGCUUCAAGUCUUGUCUGCCUGUGAAAGUUGUACUAGUAUGGCUUGGGUGUGAAUUGACGCUGAAUGUAUUAAACUGGUGCAGUUCUCUGGCGGGGCUCUCUGGGUACACACUCUGUCAAACAAGUGUUUCUGUGAUAGUGUAACCACAGUGGCUUAAAAAAUUAGGUCAAAUUCUUUUGCAACUUCUCUGUGUUGUCAAGGUUUUAGAAAUUGGGUUUAUGUGAGCUAAGCUGAAGAACCUUUGAAAUUCUCAAACCAGCUUUUUAUGGCAGUUUGUCUAAGUGGAUUUAGAAUCUCACUUGGAGAUGCAGUUUCUCCUUUUCAGCUGACACAAGUGUGGGCUGCUGCAGGAAUGAGUGCUCCCACUCCCAGUUGUCAGCAGUAGUGUUUGUGCAGCCACCUGGGGAAGUGACCCAACCCAAACUGAAGGGGUUUUAUUCCUUUUUUGGGCUGGCUUUGUUUUCAGGCAGGUCAGAUGUGUCCCAGCUCACCACAAGUGUACAGCAAGGUGUAGCUGGGAAUACCUGGGUGAGUGUGAGUAGAAAGGACAGUGAUGUCUCUCCUGGCAGCAGCCUGUGAAAAUUAAAUUAAUUUAAGUUUACUCUCCCCAUGUGGAAGUGUUACAUAAUCUCUGUGUAAGGCA